rnacentral:rRNA from 1 species
UACGGAAGGCAGCAGUGGGGAAUAUUGGACAAUGGGCGCAAGCCUGAUCCAGCCAUGCCGCGUGUGUGAAGAAGGCCUUCGGGUUGUAAAGCACUUUUGUCCGGAAAGAAAGCUUAGGGUUAAUAACCUUGAGUCAUGACGGUACCGGAAGAAUAAGCACCGGCUAACUUCGUGCCAGCAGCCGCGGUAAUACGAAGGGUGCAAGCGUUACUCGGAAUUACUGGGCGUAAAGCGUGCGUAGGUGGUUUUGUUAAAGUCUGAUGUGAAAGCCCUGGGCUCAACCUGGGAAUGGCAUUGGGAAACUGGCUUACUAGAGUGCGGUAGAGGGGUGUGGAAUUCCCGGUGUAGCAGUGAAAUGCGUAGAUAUCGGGAGGAACAUCUGUGGCGAAGGCGACACCCUGGGACCAGCACUGACACUGAGGCACGAAAGCGUGGGGAGCAAACAGGGAUUAGAUACC